rnacentral:rRNA from 1 species
AGAGUUUGAUUUUGGCUCAGGAUGAACGCUGGCGGCGUGCUUAACACAUGCAAGUCGAACGGGAAACCUUUUAAUGAAGCUUCUUGCAGAUUUGGCUGGUUUCUAGUGGCGGACGGGUGAGUAACGCGUGGGUAACCUGCCUUAUACAGGGGGAUAACAACCAGAAAUGGUUGCUAAUACCGCAUAAGCGCACAGGACCGCAUGGUCUGGUGUGAAAAACUCCGGUGGUAUAAGAUGGACCCGCGUUGGAUUAGCUAGUUGGUGGGGUAACGGCCCACCAAGGCGACGAUCCAUAGCCGGCCUGAGAGGGUGAACGGCCACAUUGGGACUGAGACACGGCCCAGACUCCUACGGGAGGCAGCAGUGGGGAAUAUUGCGCAAUGGAGGAAACUCUGACGCAGUGACGCCGCGUGCAGGAAGAAGGUUUUCGGAUUGUAAACUGCUUUAGACAGGGAAGAGAAAGGACAGUACCUGUAGAAUAAGCAUCGGCUAACUCCGUGCCAGCAGCCGCGGUAAUACGGGGGAUGCGAGCGUUAUCCGGAUUCAUUGGGUUUAAAGGGUGCGUAGGCUGUGCGUCAAGUCAGGGGUGAAAUUCCGGGGCUCAACUCCGGGGCUGCCCUUGAUACUGUCGCGCUGGAGUGCGGAUGCCGCCGGAGGAAUGAGUGGUGUAGCGGUGAAAUGCUUAGAUAUCACUCAGAACACCGAUUGCGAAGGCAUCUGGCGAAUCCGUAACUGACGCUGAGGCACGAAAGCGUGGGGAUAGAACAGGAUUAGAUACCCUGGUAUUCCACGCCGUAAACGAUGA